rnacentral:lncRNA from 1 species
UUUGAAAAGGGUAUUCACGUGGAUGGGCUUUGGUUUCAAUACUGAUUGGCUUAGGAAUGAAACAUGCGGCUAGGCUUUUGCUUUUAAUUCUUUUCAUAAGAGGAUUUUAUAAGCCGCACCAUUAUAAAAGGGGAAAGCCAAGCGGAAGCAAAAGAGAGACAAGAAGGCAGCCGCACAACAACUGAAAAUUGGAGAGAAAAUCGAGAGCAAGAAAAGAACAAGAGAAGCCGCUGUAAAUCCGAGAGCAACAAUUUGGAGAAAUUAAUUGCAGAGAUUGGAGAGAGAUAGCUUCUUGAGUUUUUCUUUCUCUCUUCUCUAUUAUCUUAUUUGAAUGUUUUCCAUUAAAUUCAUGGAUUCUCUUUAUAUUCUCAUGAACUAAUUUAUUUUACUAGGGCUAUGAUGUAGCCUAACUAUGAAGAUUUAAUUCCAUAAAUCUAUGUUAUUUUUAAUUAAUUAUUCCAUGAUUGAGUGUUCAUUAUUGUUCUUAAUGCUUUUAAAUAUUUAGCCAAUAUUUGAAUGAUUUGAGGAUACAUAAUGAGACCGAGAGGAGAUUUAUGUAUUUUUGCUCUGUG